ensembl:lncRNA
AUGCGGUAUGCCACACCGCUCCUUCGUAUGCAGAGUAUGCCAUGCUUGACUAUGCCAAAGGAAGCUGUUCUCCCUCAGCUUAAGAGUGUCGAGAGGAGACUGCCUAAGAAUCCAGAUCAGGCAUCCGCCUACCAGGCUGAGAUCACCAAACUUAAGGAAAUGGGUUAUGUGGCCAAGCUGGAACCGAGAGAGGAGGAUAGUUCCACAGAAUCAUGGUACAUUCCGCACCAUAUGGUUCAUCACAACAACAAGAACCGGGUCGUCUACAACUGCUCCUUUCAGUUUGAAGGCCACAGCCUUAACGAGUUCCUCCUUCCAGGACCCACACUAGGCUCCUCACUGCUAGCAGUCCUGCUCCGCUUUCGAGAACACUCGGUCGCCAUAAGCAGUGAUAUUCGCGGUAUGUUCCACCAGGUGAGGCUGCUCCCUGGUGACAUGCCAUUGCUCCGAUUCCUGUGGCGAGACUUGAAACCUGAGCGACCCCCUGACGUGUACCAGUGGCAGGUGCUCCCAUUUGGCACCACGUGCAGUCCCUGCUGUGCCACUUAUGCCUUGCAGAGACACGUCAUGGAUCACAGUCAGCCGGGAGACCAAUUCAGAGAGGUAAUUCAGAGAUCAUUUUACGUUGACAAUUGCCUGCACAGUCUUCACUCCCCCCAAGAGGCUAGAGACCUAGUUGAUCAACUUCGAGCACUCCUAGCCACCGGAGGCUUCGAGCUUCGACAGUGGGCCAGCAAUUGUCCAUCUGUAAUUACUCACCUCCCCCCUGAAGCCAGAUCCAGUACCUGUGACCUCUGGCUCAGUCAAGGCCAACAAGACGUCCACGAGUCUACACUUGGACUGCAGUGGCAUUGCCAGUCCGAUACUCUACGUUACAAGCACCGAUCCAGAUGCUCUUCUUCUGUAACAAUGCGUCAGAUCUACCGAGUACUAGCAAGCCAAUAUGAUCCUCUUGGAUAUCUCAUCCCUUACACCACCCGGGCUAAGAUACUAGUACAGCGCCUGUGGGACAAGAAGCGCGACUGGGACGACCCACAGUUGCCUAAGGAACUGCUUGCAUCAUGGGACAAAUGGGAGAAGGAGUUGAGUAGACUAAAGGAAAUAUCUCUGCCCAGGUGCUAUUCUCAAUCUCAGAAAGAUCACCCAUACUGUAGAUACGACAUUCAUGUGUUAUGUGAUGCCUCGGAGCAGGCAUACGGUUCAGUGGCCUACCUGCGAAUAGAGCACAAAGAGGGUCAAGUUGAAGUUGCCUUCGUUGCUGCCAGGUCCCGGGUAGCACCUCGCAAGCAACAAUCCAUACCACGCUUAGAGUUGUGUGCUGCUCUUAAUGGAGCACAGCUAUCCCAGCUUCUAACUGCAGAGCUUACAAUUCCUAUCUGUUCCACUACACUCUGGUCUGACUCCACCACUGUGCUUACGUGGUUGACAUCCAGCUCAUGUCGCUACAAGGUGUUUGUGGGAACAAGGGUAGCAGAGAUCCAAGAGAUGACAGCUUCCACCAUCUGGCGCUUCGUCAGAUCUUCAGACAACCCAGUAGAUGACAUCACUCGUGGCAAGCCUCUUGGAGACCUCUCCAGAGAAAGCAGGUGGAGCCAGGGGCCGGCAUUCCUUAAGCUUCCAUCAGAUAGUUGGCCUGUGCAGCCUCGUUUAUCAUUUGAAGAGCCAAGCUGCGAACUAAGAAAACCAUUAUUCACUGUGUUAGUGACCACUACUACACCCUCACCUAAGCUGCAGCACUACGACACACUGGCAGAGUGCCUAAAUGCCUAUGGGCAAGAGCUUCACGGGGCGGCCUACACCUCCAGUGCAGAUCUCCAAAGGGAUGUUCAACAUGCAAUCCUCUGUCAAGCUCAAGCAGAGUCCUUCCCAGAUGAGCUGAGACUUCUGAAGUCUGGGAAACCCAUAUUAUCUACAAGCAGGCUGAUCACACUCUCCCCGGAGCUUGACGCUGCGACUGGACUUAUUCGCGUAGGAGGUCGUCUGCGCCACUGUGAGGUACUGGAAGAGGACGCUGUACAUCCAGCUAUUCUUGACCCUCGACAUCCAAUCACUGUGUUAAUCAUAAAGGAUUAUGAUGAGAGGCUACAUCAUCCAGGUACAGAGAGGUUGUUUGCAGAAAUCAGGAGGAUGUACUGGAUACUAAGAGGUCGUGAAGCUGUCCGUCGGUACCAACGCCAGUGUACAGAGUGUAGGAAGUGGAGAGGACGCCCAGAAGUACCUCUCAUGGCUGACCUGCCCCUCACCAGACAGAGAUAUUUCCGUCCAGCCUUCUACUCAUCUGGCAUGGACUGUUUUGGCCCCUUCCUCAUUAAGAUCGGCCAACGUAAUGAGAAGAGGUGGGGCAUAGUCUUUAAGUGCAUGACCACACGGGCAAUCCAUCUUGAUCUUCUCAGUAGUCUUGAUUCUGACUCUUUCCUGAUGGCUCUACGACGGAUCAUUGCUAGACGUGGCAAACCAUACGAGUUAUUGUGUGACCAAGGCACAAACUUUAAGGGAGGAGAACGUGAACUGAAUGAUGCCUUCGCCACCCUCCAAGAUGAGCUACAGAGCCGGGUGCUGGGAGAGGGAGAUCCGCUCCAUUAA